rnacentral:rRNA from 1 species
GACGAACGCUGGCGGCGUGCUUAACACAUGCAAGUCGAACGCUGAAGCUCAGCUUUUGUUGGGUGGAUGAGUGGCGAACGGGUGAGUAACACGUGAGUAACCUGCCCCCUUCUUUGGGAUAACGCCCGGAAACGGGUGCUAAUACUGGAUAUUCACUGGUCUUCGCAUGGGGGUUGGUGGAAAGGGUUUUUCUGGUGGGGGAUGGGAUCGCGGCCUAUCAGCUUGUUGGUGGGGUGAUGGCCUACCAAGGCUUUGACGGGUAGCCGGCCUGAGAGGGUGACCGGUCACAUUGGGACUGAGAUACGGCCCAGACUCGUACGGGAGGCAGCAGUGGGGAAUAUUGCGCAAUGGGCGCAAGCCUGAUGCAGCGACGCCGCGUGAGGGAUGGGGGCCUUCGGGUUGUGAACCUCUUUCGCUCAUGGUCAAGCCGCAACAAUGGUUGUGGUGAGGGUAGUGAGUAAAGAAGCGCCGGCUAACUACGUG